rnacentral:rRNA from 1 species
UACAGAGGGUGCUAGCGUUGUUCGGAAUCAUUGGGCGUAAAGGGCGUGUAGGCGGCUUUGCAAGUCCGUUGUGAAAACUCGAGCUCAACCUCGAGACGCCGGUGGAAACUGCAAAGCUAGAGUCCGGAAGAGGAGAGUGGAAUUCCUGGUGUAGCGGUGAAAUGCGUAGAUAUCGUAAGGAAGACCAGUGGCGAAGGCGGGUCUCUGGACAGUUCCUGACGCUGAGGCACGAAGGCCAGGGGAGCAAACGGGG